rnacentral:rRNA from 1 species
ACGAACGCUGGCGGCGCGCCUAACACAUGCAAGUCGAGCGUGAACCCCGGGGCUUGCCCUGGGGGGAAAGCGGCGAACGGGUGAGUAACACGUGAGCAACCUGCCCCGGAGACCGGGAUAACUCGAGGAAACUCGGGCUAAUACCGGAUGUCCUCGUCGGACCGCAUGAUCCGACGAGGAAAUGGAUUCCGCUCCGGGAUGGACUCGCGGCCUAUCAGCUUGUUGGUGGGGUAACGGCCUACCAAGGCAACGACGGGUAGCUGGUCUGAGAGGACGAUCAGCCACACUGGGACUGAGACACGGCCCAGACUCCUACGGGAGGCAGCAGUGGGGAAUCUUGCGCAAUGGGGGAAACCCUGACGCAGCGACGCCGCGUGCGGGAUGAAGGCCUUCGGGUCGUAAACCGCUUUCAGCAGGGACGAACAUGACGGUACCUGCAGAAGAAGCCCCGGCCAACUACGU